rnacentral:lncRNA from 1 species
UCCCCAUUACUGCACCGUAACUGUAACCUCCAGGAAAUACCUGUGAGGUGGGAAUAUCUCCUAGGGACACUGCUUUGGGUAGUGCCCAAAGAUUGAGGGAGGUCUUUGGGCCCUCCUUGUGAGUUGUGUUGAAACAGAAUGGCCAAGCUGAUGGCCUGGUUGAGCAAUGGACCUUCCCUUCCACCUUUUGCUGUUCAUGAUUACUGCAGGACUGGUUGUGAUACUUGAUACCAAGCCGCAGAUCAGCUGAAUGUAGCGAGGAGAAGACCCUUGGUCAGCAAACUCACAGCUACCCUGCUGAACUGACAAUCGUUACCUGUGAAGAUGUGCCUGGAUUGUCAGCACAGCCCUGCUUGAAAUGCCAUGUUUCUUCCCCGUGUUUCCUUUAAAGCCAAGGACAGCAAGGCAAGAUAGGGUUUCACGAGGGUAUAGGGUUUCUGAAUCUGAGUCUUUCCUGAGACAAACUCUUUCUAAUCCUUACCUGUGUGUCAGAGCUGCACAGACAUCGACCACAUCCGUAACCACCCAUAGGAUCUUCUAUUGCUGGAGGAAGAACUGUAAUUUAGGCUGCCUGAACUUGGCUGCAGGAAAAGCAGGCAGGGGCUUGAAACAGCAGCAUGGAAGCCUUCGCUGAAAGCAAUAGAUGAUGCUCGCAGCCCUAACAGACCUUUGGACAGACCCAGUGGCUAUGCCUGCAUCCAGCAACCUCUGAUCUGCGCCUGGCUGGGGCUGCUUUUUGGUUGUGUCCAGGUAUGGCUUGGACCCUGCGCUAUAUGGGCAGGUAAUGCCACUGCAUGAUCCGCAGGGGUGCACAGAGGAAUACAAAAAGCAAACAAGGGUGCAACUUAGGCUCCAGAACCUUCAGCAGUUUGGGAGCCAACAGCAAUUGCAGGUUCCAGGAAAUGGAUUUUCCCAAGCACCAGGACAGAGUCAGGCCCUGCCCUUUGUAGCAGCUGAGGGAAUGCCUGG